AUUGAACGCUGGCGGCAGGCCUAACACAUGCAAGUCGAACGAGUGGCGGACGGGUGAGUGAUUUCUGGGAACCUGCCUGACGUAGGGGGAUAAGUAGUGGAAACGGUAGCUAAUACCGCAUACGAUCAGAUCUGCCGAGAUGGGAUUAGCUUGUUGGUGGGGUAACGGCUCACCAAGGCGACGAUCCCUAGCUGGUCUGAGAGGAAGACCAGCCACACUGGAACUGAGACACGGUCCAGACUCCUACGGGAGGCAGCAGUGGGGAAUAUUGGACAAUGGGCGAAAGCCUGAUCCAGCCAUGCCGCGUGUAUGAAGAAGGCCUUCGGGUUGUAAAGUACUGUCGGCGGGGAAGCGUUACCCACAGAAGAAGCACCGGCUAACUUCGUGCCAGCAGCCGCGGUAAUUC
rnacentral:rRNA from 1 species